GCGUCGGUUAGCGUCUGGUUAGCGCGUUGGACUCCGGAUCGAGCGGUCCGGGUUCGAGCCCUGGCCGGGGUCA